rnacentral:tRNA from 1 species
GCGCCCGUAGCUCAAUGGAUAGAGCAGGGGCUUCCUAAGCCCCGUGUUGGAAGUUCGACUCUUCUCGGGCGCU